AGAUUGAACGCUGGCGGCAGGCCUAACACAUGCAAGUCGAGCGGUAGAGAGGUGCUUGCAUCUCUUGAGAGCGGCGGACGGGUGAGUAAUGCCUAGGAAUCUGCCUAGUGGUGGGGGAUAACGUUCGGAAACGGACGCUAAUACCGCAUACGUCCUACGGGAGAAAGCGGGGGACCUUCGGGCCUCGCGCCAUUAGAUGAGCCUAGGUCGGAUUAGCUAGUUGGUGAGGUAAUGGCUCACCGAAGGCGACGAUCCGUAACUGGUCUGAGAGGAUGAUCAGUCACACUGGAACUGAGACGACGGUCCAGACCUCCGUACGGGAGGCAGCGAGGUAGGGAAUAGUGGAACUAAGUGGGACGAAAGCCGUAGACUCCGAGCCAGUCGCCGCGUGUGGUAGAAGUACGGUUCGUUACGGUAUUAG
rnacentral:rRNA from 1 species